CUUCACUGCCGAAUAGGCAGCUUAGAAA
rfam:Candidatus Symbiobacter mobilis CR, complete genome.